rnacentral:rRNA from 3 species
AAACGACUCUCGGCAACGGAUAUCCCGGCUCUCGCAUCGAUGAAGAACGUAGCGAAAUGCGAUACUUGGUGUGAAUUGCAGAAUCCCGUGAACCAUCGAGUCUUUGAACGCAAGUUGCGCCCGAGGCCAUCAGGCUAAGGGCACGUCUGCCUGGGUGUCACGC